UUAUAUUGACAAAAAAAAACCAUUACUUGUGACAAAAAGAAACAGCAACAAUGCUUCAUUAACUAGAGUAUUGUUCAUCUUCUUUACCUUCACCAUCACACAGUAACAGUGCUUCCCUCAAUACUUCCCUCUUCCAUCCAACAAGCCAUGUAAACGAAGCAGCAAGAUCAUUGAGAGCUUAUAUCUGGUACAGUGCUUCUCUCCGAGGAGUGUAAGAAUGGUACCUCACAUUGUGAAGACUUUGUGUUGUGUAACACAAAUAAAUUUGGAUAUUUGGAGAUAGGAGAAGGCUUAUCUUUUUCUAUUUUUCUUUCAAGUUUUGGAGAUGGGAGAAGGUUGAAGCUAUGGUGUGUUAGUCAUUGUAUUUCAUCAUCUCUCUCAUUCCAAUCAGCCAAGGGUUCGAGUAGAAGAGAGACUUGGACAGCAAGGAACAGAUUAUCCAAGCUUCAUUCUUCCCUUCUUUUCAGAUUAAGGAAUCAAGAUGGUGACCACCACGAUAUUGGAGACUAUCGUGAGAUGGGAGAUCGUUCUGAGUAGGCCAGCAGAAGACCGGCUUUGGGGGACCGACGGUUCCGGAGUCCGGAGAGUCUACGUCGGCGAUGCGGAGCUCUUAGGGAGGAACAGAUCUGGGACGGUUGUGGAGAGGCAGAUCCUUAGGGAUGGGACUGUUGUGCUGCUACAUCCUUCCGCUAGGUUUCAUCAGACUACAGUGGGUGAGGAGGAAGAAGAUCCUUCGGAGGACACUACAGUGGAGUCACGGUUGGUCGAGGAGGAGGAGGCAGUGGAGUCUUCACCACCAGAGACCAAGUCGGGAGUCUGUGCGCAGCGUGUACCUGGGCGUCCAAAGUGCUUUAGAGUGGGACCUCGGAAGAGCGUGAUAAAGCUGGAGCAGUCUAAGAAGAGAGCGCGUGGAGCGGGAGCUGACGUUCCGGAGCGGGAUCAGGAUUAGAGUGUUCCUUUUUGUGGCGCUGAGAAUUCGUGUCGAACUACUAUUUAUCAUUUUUAUUUUCGGGGUUUUCUUUUGAUGUACUUGAUGUAGGGCUUUAGCCCAAGGUUUCAUUUAUGUACUUUGGAAUUACAGUUUCUUUUAAUUACGAGUAUUUUAUUCAGAAA